GUCAUGUAGGCAUAUGAAUGCACAACAAGGGAUCUCUAAACCUUCCAUGGUGGAAGGAGAAUACUCUAAGAUAUGAUUCUAAAGUCUUUGGCCAAAGCAUAUGAAUAUGACUUAGGAAGUUUGUUCCAAAUCAUAUUCAAGGGAAUCAUAUAGAUAUGUAUCACAUUGGAUAGUAGACAUGAAACAAACUAUCACUAAAACAAUGUGAUUAAGAGUAUUGUAUUAGAGAAGGACCGUAUUGCAUUGUAGUUGUAACUGGAUAGGUUCUCCAACCAAUUCUACUUAGCUUGGGUAACCAUGACAUACUGCUAGGUGUCACUCAUGGUUUGUGGAAGCCCUAAUGAUUAGCAAACACUAAUCAUAAAAGGGAGAAUUGAAAUGUGGUUUCAAUUCACAAUCGAUCGUUAAGAGUAACAAUCGCCCACUACCUCGCUAAUUGGAACCUAAUGGAUCGUACACCGAGUAAGGAUGAUAGUGAAGAAAUUAAAUGAAAUGGAUAAGCAAUUAAAUGGUUUAAUUGAAGAAUGGUCAAGAUUAAUUAAUUAGUUAAUUAAUUUUACGAAAGGUUCGUAUUGGGCUUUUAAGUUGGUUUUGGGUUUCGGGGCCCAAAAGUGUUUUGGUCCAUAAGGCCCAUUAUGUUUAAGUUGUAUGACAACUAAAACAAAAUGGGCAAUAAGCCCAAUCAACAACAUAUAGGCCGGCCAUGGUGAGGAGAUGGUGAAAGUUUGCUUAAUUACAAGUUUGCCACUCACCAAAGAAAAAGUGUUAUAAAAGCAACUUUAUAGCUAUUUUUCUAAUUAGGGUUUUCUUUUUGAGGCAAAGAGGUGAAACAUUUUCUCUCUUUUCUCUACAAAGAGGCCGGCCACUUAGGGAGAUUAAUCUAGCAAUCUCUUCUUCCCUAAGUCAUCCAUUUCAUCUUCACACUUAACCCUUGGUGUGGAGACUUAGAGACAUCAAACUUUUGGUGUUUUGGAGAAUCCUUUCCUUACAUCCUCAAAAAGUCCAAAGGAGCACAAAGGAGAAGGAAAUCACAAGGAAUAUCCAAGGAGCUUAGGGAGGUGACUUGAAGGCCCUCCACUUGGGUGAAUCCCUUGUGUAAACAAGGAUGAGCUUCAAGGGUAAAGAAACUCUAAAUCUUUACUUCUCUUUAAUGUUGUUAAAGAGUUUAUUUUGGUUCACCAUAUACUAGGCUUUGAAAGUCAUGGGUUUUAUGAAUUGUUUUUAAUGCAUGCCUACUUUAAAGUGUUAAUAGUUUUGCAUAUGUAUUCAAAUGUUCUUACUUGUUCUUAGCUAGGACAAAAUUUUUCCUUCAAGUGGUAUCAGAGCCUAGGCCUAGUUUAUGGUGAAUCCUUUUGGGUUUUGUGAUUUCAUAUUUUUGUGAUUUAAAUGUUGUAAAUGUUACAAGCUUUGUUAUUGCUUUUGAAUAUAUAAAUUUUGCUAGAAAAUUUAGCAUCUCAAAUGUUGUAGAUGUAUUUCAUUUAAGCAUGAAUAUUGGAACUAAAAUUUGGUGCCAUGUGGUUUGGGAAAUUCGGCCAAAUCCUUAGGGUGAUUUUUUGGGUUCAUGUUUGUCUUGUUAAAAUGGUUUUAAGGUGACUUUUGGAACCCCUAAGUACCCUAGGAUAUUAGCCCUCUUUUGAGUGGUGAAAAAUUGAGUUUUGGUGAAUGAAAACAUUCAUGGAGCUAUUAUGAGUUUUCAUGGUGUUCUUCAAAUGUUCUUGAAGUUCUUGCCAAGAACAAAAAGGUUUGAAGUUUUGAUUCAAAAGUUUUAUGUUUUUCAUAAAGUUUUGGUUUAUUAAUUGAUGGUUGAUGGUUAUUGGUGAGAUGUGAUGAAAUGGUUUUAAUGUUUGUCUAAACUCAUAAAUGUUUUACAAAACAUUUUCUUACAAACCAUCAAUUUCACCUUUACCUCACCCACCAAAAUCAAGUUGCAUAAAACCCUUUCACACUCAUUCACACUCCAAAACCGGCCACCCCCUAGUGGGGGUACUUUUGGGGUCUUUUAUGCAAUUACAUAAAGUUUUGAUACUUUUGUGUAUUUGCACUUUGGCCCAAAAGUUUACGUUUUUACGUUAAGGCCCAAAAACUCUAAAGGACGAAUUGUUUUGAUCCCUUAAUGAUGUUUUUACAUUAAUAAAAUUUUGGGAUCUAGUUGUAAUUACAUGAAGUUGUGGACUAUUGUGUUUUUACAAAGUGACCCCAAAAGUUUUUGUAUUUGCAUUAUGGCCCAAUUGUUGUGGUCAUAGUUUCCUUUUGGCCCAAAAGGAUGAGAACAAAAUUGUUUUGUCUCUUUAAUGAGAAUUGGAUUUUCAUUUCAUUUAGUUCCAUUUAAAUCAAUUCUAUGGAUCCAAAAACCAAUUGUUUAAGUUGCUUUUCUUAGUUAAUGUGAUUAAUUGAAGAAAAGGGUGAUUAUGAACCAAAGGCCUCGAUAAUUGAGCUAUGUGAUUGGCCGCUUUACAUUAUGAAUGUUUGGGUUUGGUAGUGUAGAUUUGAAUGUAAUUUGAUUAAUUCAAUUUGUUGUAAAUGGACAUAAGUCCAUCAUUUGUGUUGUAAAAGGGCAUAAGCCCUUCUUAUUAUUUCAUGUAUUCCUUUUGUUUAUAUGUAUGCAAAAUGGAAUAGUUGGGUCCAACGCCCAAUAGGAAAUAACGGUUUAAUUAGGAUUAAACGCGUAACUAAAAUCAACAACUAUCUACCUUAAACCCAAGGUCCAACACAAGGCUCGUGUUGGAUCAAAUCAAAUUAAAUCGGUUCAUAAUCAUCCUAAGACUUAAUAUGACUAUAUAGUCCAUAUGAGGAUGCAAUGCAUUCGUUAAUAGUUCCAUAUAGUCUCACUUGUUUCUUCGAAAUAGUGGGAGUAUUAUAAACUACUAAAUUCAUAUUAACUUGGACCAAUAGUUGUGAUAGGCCCAAGUUCUUUUAAUAUGAUUAAAAUGAUUUUGAUGUAGCCCAAAACUACUCCCUCGACAAACGAAUAUUAAGUUGAUAAGCGAGAGAUGUUUUGAACAUCUCUUCGUAGGCCUUCCACCGUGGUGGGCUCCAAUCGUUUGUGACUCAUGCACCGGCUUCACCCUAUCAUGGGGGAGUUCAAAGUAUGUGCUUACAUCCAGGAGAAGUCCAUAAACAUAUGAUGAGGUAAGUGUAGGCAACGAGGAUGGCCGACAUCAUAUCAUUGUGAGGCUAUUCUUGAACCCCUUCAUGAACUAAGCAUGGUGGGAAUGACUUAACUAAGUGCAAUGGUGCCGAUGUCGUAUCAUCGUGAGGCAACAUUCUCUAGAGGCCAAACGGAUGGGUAAUUACAAAAGUUGUAAAUGAAUAAUGCGUUAUUCUCUCAUCAUUAUUUUUGCUAACCAAUAUCGUAUCAUCGUGAGGUGGGCUUGGUAAUGGUGAGUCUCCCAUACCCCGCUAAGAGUUCAAUAUAACUCUCGAAUUCUAUUGAGGGAUGUGGAAUUUGCCAAAAAUAGUGGGUGGUACUAUUUGAUUCAAAGACCCAAUCAAAUAGUUUUAAACAAACAAUCUAAUACGAUUUCUGUUAUGUUAUGUAGUUAACGACAUGCCUAAAAUUAUACCCACCAUUAUACUUGACAAAAGGGGCCUUAAGGGCCAACGUUUCCUUGCUUGGUAUCGCCACAUUGAGAAUGUCUCAAAGGUGAAAGACAUAUUGUAUGUGCUUAAGCAAUCCCCUCCUCAUGUACCUCCUACGAAACUAGCUUCAAAGGAGGAGUGUCAAAAUUAUGUUAGACACUAUGAGGAUGACUUACAAGCCAAAUGCUUAAUCCUCACUUCACUUAGUGAGGAGCUUAUGAAGCUACAUAAGCACAUGGACACUUCUUGUGCCAUGGUUGAAAGUUUGCAUAAGAUGCAUGACAUUGAGACUAGUAAUGUACGAUUCUCAAAUGUUUGUAGUCUAAUGAAUGCCAAAAUGGCAAAGGGGACAUCGGUCCAUGAAACAUGGACAAAAGAUGGAAAAGAUAUUUAAAGAUCUUAAAAAGUUUAGGAACUUCCAUCGAUGGGAAAAUGGCCCAAGACUUUUUCCUUGCAUCUCUCUCUCGGAUGAUUUCACUAAGUUUAUUGUAAACUAUAAAGUGAAUAGAUUCGAUCAUGCUUUAAACGAGAUGAUUGACAUGUGCUGUAAAUUUGAAAAAGGUUUCAAAAGGGACAGUGGGAGUGAGAAUGCAAUCACACAAGGAAAAGGUUGCAUAAGAAGAAGGCAAAGAAAUCCAAAGGAACAUGCUUUCAUUGUGGAAAGGAUGAACGUUGGAAGAAGAAAUACAGGGUGCGCAUUGAGAGCCUUAUGACACGAACUUUUGAAGAGACUAUUUCUGUCAUAGAGAGUGCUUUUACAGUGAGCUCCAAUUCCUGGAUAUUUGAUUCAGGCGCUAGUCAACAUAUCUGUAAUACGAUGCAGGGACUAGCAGGGAGCAGGUCACUGCGCAAUGGGGAGAUGGUUGUGCGAGUUGGGAACGGCACUAAAAUCUCUGCAAAAGCAAUAGGCACCUACAUGCUUAACCUACCCUCUGGGGAAGUCCUGGAACUUAAAAAUUGUUUAUAUUUUCCUUCAUGUAUAAAGAAUUUGAUUUCCAUCUCUAAGCUUUUACGAGAUGGGCACUCAGUAUUGUUUGACAAAAUGAGUUGCACUUUAUACUUGAACGGUCGUAUUAUCUCUCAUGGUAAUAUGAUAGAGGGACUUUUUCACCUAGAGACGAAUAGUGGGGGCAUCUUAAACUCGGACAUGUGAACCUUGAUAAGAUUCGCAAAAUGUCGAAAGACGGAUAUUUCCGCCCAUUAGGUGAUGACCGGAUGGGUACUUGUGAAUGUUGCUUGAAAGGGAAGAUGACCAAAUCUCCAUUUACUGGAAAAGGAGAGCGUGCCACUGAAAUUCUAGGGUUAAUCCACACUGACGUAUGUGGACCUAUGUCUACUACGUCGAGAGGAGGCUUCUCCUACUAUAUCACAUUCACCGACGAUCACUCUCGGUUUGGCUAUGUGUAUCUUAUGAAGUACAAGUCAGAAUCCUUUGAAAGGUUCAAGGAAUUCAAGAAUGAAGUUGAGAAGCAAACUGGGAAACAGAUAAAGAUCCUAAGAUCGGAUCGAGGGGGUGAAUAUCUGAGUAAUGAGUUCCUAGAUUAUCUCAAAGAGUGUGGAAUAAUAUCACAGUGGACUCCACCGGGAACUCCACAACUUAAUGGAGUUUCUGAAAGGAGAAAUCGAACCUUGAUGAACAUGGUUCGUUCUAUGAUGAGUUCCGCUGAUCUACCAGUAAUAUUCUGGGGAUACGCUCUAUAUACAGCAGCUUACUUGCUUAAUAGAGUACCUUCCAAAUCAAUUUCACAAACGCCCUAUGAGAUAUGGCAUGGAAGAAAGCCAAGUCUUAAUCACAUUAAGAUUUGGGGUUGUGAAGCAUAUGUCAAGAAGCUUGAAGCUACUAAGCUUGAAGCGAGAUCAGUAAGGUGUUAUUUUGUGGGAUAUCCUAGAGAAACUAUGGGAUAUGAGUUCUACCAUCCUGACGACCAGAAAGUCUUUGUCGCCAGAACUGCUAUGUUUCUAGAGGAACAAUUUGUUCUCAAAGGAACUAUAAGCAAAGAGAUGGAAAUUAAUGAGAUUAAUAAUGAACCACAAACAAGCACUCGACAAGUUGACAACCCUGUUCCUGAACCCCUAGCUCCACAUAGAUCUGAACGGGUUAGUAAGCCACCUAAGAGGUAUGGCUUAGACAAUGACUUUGCGGAAUUGCACCUUCUAGGUGACAAUGACACAAAGGAGGACCCUAGGGACUACACUGAAGCAAUGUCCGACAUUGAUUCAAAGAGAUGGCAAGAGGCCAUGAAAUCCGAGAUGGAUUCCAUGUAUCAAAAUCAGGUCUGGACUCUUGUAGACCCUCCAGAAGGUAUAGUACCUGUUGGAAACAAAUGGGUCUUCAAGAGGAAGAUAGGCGUUGAUGGGAACGUGGAGACUUAUAAGGCUAGACUCGUAGCCAAGGGUUAUAGGCAACGAGAAGGGAUUGACUAUGAAGAAACCUUCUCUCCUGUAGCCAUGAUUAAGUCCAUUCGGAUUUUGCUUGCUAUAGCUACGUACCAUGAUUAUGAGAUAUGGCAAAUGGACGUGAAGACGGCCUUUCUGAACGGCUACCUAGAGGAAGAGCUCUAUAUGACUCAACCCGAAGGUUUCAUGUCCAAGUCUGAAAAGACUAAGGUAUGCAAGCUUCAAAGGUCCAUUUAUGGACUUAAGCAAGUCUCCAGGAGCUGGAACAUUCGUUUCGACACUGAAAUCAAAACGUUUGGUUUUACUCAAAACGAAGACGACAAUUGUGUUUAUCAAAAGGUCGUUGGGGAAGCAGUAGUAUUCCUAGUGUUAUAUGUAGAUGACAUAUUACUAUUCGGGAAUGACACUGCAAUACUUUCUUCUUCUGUAAAAGUGUGUGGUUGUCCAAAACCUUCCACAUGAAAGAUUUAGGAGAUGCAUCUUAUGUACUUGGGAUAAAACUCUAUCGUGAUAGAUCCAGAAAAUUAAUUGGAUUAUCCCAAUCUAUGUACAUUGAUAAGGUGCUAAGUAGGUUCCAGAUGGAACAAUCUAAGAAAGGUUUUCUUCCUGUGAGACAUGGAAUUCACCUUUCUAAGUCCAUGGAACCUAAGACUCCUGAAGAAAUAUGGCAAAUGAAUAUGAUUCCUUAUGCUUCCGCCAUAGGGAGUCUCAUGUAUGCCAUGAUAUGCACAAGGCCUGAUAUCGCAUAUGCUGUGAGCAUUACUAGUCGAUAUCAAUCUAACCCAGGACCAGAACACUGGGCAGCUGUCAAGACGGUCCUUAAGUACUUAAGAAGAACUAAGGACAUGUUCCUCGUAUAUGGAGGAGCAGCAGAGUUGUGAGUGGAAACCUAUACAGACGCAGAUUUCCAAUCUGACGUCGAUGAUAGAAGUUCCAACUCCGGAUAUGUAUUCACUCUGAAUGGUGGGGCUGUCAGUUGGAAGAGCAAGAAACAGAGUGUAAUUGCUGAUUCCACAACAGAGGCUGAAUAUGUCGCUGCAGCUGAAGCCGGCAAAUAAGCGUUCUGGAUGAAGAAGUUCAUCACUGAACUUGGGGUGGUUCCAACCAUUACAUCACCAGUAACUUUGUACUAUGAUAAUAGUGGGGCGAUAGCUCAAGCCAAGGAACCCAGGGCACAUCAAAAGAACAAGCAUUUUGACAGGCGCUUUAAUAUCAUUAGAAGAUAUGCUGCCGAGGGGAAAGUCAACAUUCUCAAAGUUGCUUCAGCCGAUAACGUAGCAGAUCCACUGACAAAGCCAAUGACUCAAAUCCAGCUUGACCGUCAUAUGGAAAAGAUGGGUAUUAGAUACAUGGGAGGAUGGCUUUGAGUGCAAGUGGGAGAUUGUUGGAAGUAUGCCCACAAAGCCACUCAUUUGAUGUAAUAGCUUUUUGGAAUACUUAAUGUAUUAAACUUUUAUAUGUUUAAUAAAGGGCAAAGCUUAUUGUUAAUCACUAUUUAUUGUAUCAUGUGUUUAAGUAAUAAGGGAAUCCAAGGGAUGUAUUUGAUCUAAGAGACAAGUGAUCUAAGUGAGUUAGAUUAUCAAGACCAUUCUCUUAUGUUCAUUCCUAAAACGUUCCUAGCCAUAGGAUUGCCAAUUGGGUAUUGACAAUCCGCUAAGGUUAGUAUGUGUUAUGUCGACUCAAGCGUGAAUAUGACUAGUCUCAAGUCAUUUGGUGUUGGACACUAAGACAAACACAUAGGUGCUCGAAAGAGUAAUCGAGUACACUGAACAACGAUCAAAAGAGAGUUCGAACAUACAUGUCAUGUAAGAACUCGAAAGUUGCAAUAUGCAAAGUAGUCCUUUGACGUGAGGCAUCAUAGAUGUCUAAUGGUUAGGUCCUUGAUCUUUGAUUAUGUCAACGGCAUUCCCUCGGAGUGUUCACGGCAUUGUUGGGGUCAAGUUAUCUAGUCAUGUAGGCAUAUGAAUGCACAACAAGGGAUCUCUAACCUUCCAUGGUGGAAUGAGUAUACUCUAAGAUAUGAUUCUAAAGUCUUUGGCCAAAGCAUAUGAAUAUGACUUAGGAAGUUUGUUCCAAAUCAUAUUCAAGGGAAUCAUAUAGAUAUGUAUCACAUUGGAUAGUAGACAUGAAAUAAACUAUCACUAAAACAAUGUGAUUAAGAGUAUUGUAUUAGAGAAUGACCGUAUUGCAUUGUAGUUGUAACUGGAUAGGUUUUCCAACCAAUUCUACUUAGCUUGGGUAACCAUGACAUACUGCUAGGUGUCACUCAUGGUUUGUGGAAGCCC
rnacentral:lncRNA from 1 species